rnacentral:rRNA from 1 species
AGAGUUUGAUCAUGGCUCAGGAUGAACGCUGGCGGCGUGCCUAAUACAUGCAAGUCGAACGCGAGACGAGGGAGCUUGCUCCCUCCGAUCGAGUGGCGGACGGGUGAGUAACACGUAGGCAACCUGCCCAUCAGCCGGGGAUAACUGCGGGAAACCGUGGCUAAUACCGGAUAAACCUUUCCUCCGCGGGGAGGGGAGUUGAAAGACGGUUUCGGCUGUCGCUGAUGGAUGGGCCUGCGGCGCAUUAGCUGGUUGGUGGGGUAACGGCCCACCAAGGCGACGAUGCGUAGCCGACCUGAGAGGGUGAUCGGCCACACUGGGACUGAGACACGGCCCAGACUCCUACGGGAGGCAGCAGUAGGGAAUCUUCCGCAAUGGACGCAAGUCUGACGGAGCAACGCCGCGUGAGUGAAGAAGGGUUUCGGCUCGUAAAACUCUGUUGUUAAGGAGGAAUGACAGGUAGAGUAACUGCUACCUGUGUGACGGUACUUAACCAGAAAGCCACGGCUAACUACGUGCCAGCAGCCGCGGUAAUACGUAGGUGGCAAGCGUUAUCCGGAAUUAUUGGGCGUAAAGCGCGCGUAGGCGGUCUUUUAAGUCUGAUGUGAAAGCCCCCGGCUCAACCGGGGAGGGUCAUUGGAAACUGGGAGACUUGAGUGCAGAGAAGAGAGUGGAAUCCAUGUGUACCGGUGAAAUGCGCAGA